CGCUUCCGAUUAAAACGGAUUGCCAGAAUUGCCUCCUGCCAGGGACAUCCUGUACCACCCAAAAUGUCUCGUCUUGGGAAAAAGCCAACUCAGGCAAAAUUUAAAAACUCCAGGAUGCCCCUCCUCCUCCCAGUUCCCUCUCUCACAUGUUGGAAGGGACCUUGGAGGUCUUCUAUCCAACCCCCCCCCCCUUGCUCAAGCAGACGACCUUGUACCACUCCAGGCAAAUGGGUCUUUUUCUUAAAGAGGGCAUUUUAAAGACCCCCUAGGGAAUUGCUCUCUCCUUGGUGAGCUCUCCUUGAGGCUUCCAAUUU